UACGAAGGGGGCUAGCGUUGCUCGGAAUUACUGGGCGUAAAGCGCACGUAGGCGGCUUUCUAAGUCGGGGGUGAAAUCCUGGAGCUCAACUCCAGAACUGCCUUCGAUACUGGAGAGCUCGAGUCCGGGAGAGGUGAGUGGAACUGCGAGUGUAGAGGUGAAAUUCGUAGAUAUUCGCAAGAACACCGGUGGCGAAGGCGGUUUUCUGGCUCGGUACUGACGCUAAGGCGCGAAAGCGUGGGGAGCAAACAGG
rnacentral:rRNA from 1 species